GUGAACAGUCAGCACCUAGGAGCGUGGGCAAGGGCAAUGGCUCGACUGCUUCUGGAAUGAAGACACUCUACAGUGAACAGCAGGAACAGAAAGGAGCAGGGAUGGACAUAUUCAGUGUGGCUGGAGUCAGAUGCCGCAUCUCCAUUUUCAGCAGCGGACGACAUCUACGGGAGAAAACCGGGCCUGUGUGAACGUCCCACUCUACUCGAAAGCACCAUAUGCUAAUAUUGUUUUACCUGGAGAAUCUAUUUGGCUAAUUACAUUUGUGCCAUUAUUACUCCCCUGUGCUCUAAGAAAGAUGGUAC